rnacentral:rRNA from 1 species
CCAAUAGCGUAUAUUAAAGUUGUUGCAGUUAAAAAGCUCGUAGUUGAAUUUCGGGACCAGUAUGUUGGUCGUGCUUCGGUACGUACUGUCAUUACUGGUUUCUCCCUUCUGAAGAACCUUGAUGUCAUUAAUUUGGUGUCAUGGGGAAUCAGGACUGUUACUUUGAAAAAAUUAGAGUGUUUAAAGCAGGCAUACGCUUGAAUACAUUAGCAUGGAAUAAUGAAAUAGGACGUUUGAUUCUAUUUUGUUGGUUUCUAGGAUCGACGUAAUGAUUAAUAGGGUUAGUUGGGGGAAUUAGUAUUCAAUUGUCAGAGGUGAAAUUCUUGGAUUUAUUGAAGACUAACUACUGCGAAAGCAUUUGCCAAGGAUGUUUUCAUUAAUCAAGAACGAAAGUUAGGGGAUCGAAGACGAUCAGAUACCGUCGUAGUCUUAACCAUAAACUAUGCCGACUAGGGAUCGGAUGAUGUUAUUUUUAAUGACUCAUUCGGCGCCUUACG